rnacentral:rRNA from 1 species
UCGAGCGGAGAUGAGGUGCUUGCACCUUAUCUUAGCGGCGGACGGGUGAGUAAUGCUUAGGAAUCAGCCUAUUAGUGGGGGACAACAUUCCGAAAGGAAUGCUAAUACCGCAUACGUCCUACGGGAGAAAGCAGGGGAUCUUCGGACCUUGCGCUAAUAGAUGAGCCUAAGUCGGAUUAGCUAGUUGGUGGGGUAAAGGCCUACCAAGGCGACGAUCUGUAGCGGGUCUGAGAGGAUGAUCCGCCACACUGGGACUGAGACACGGCCCAGACUCCUACGGGAGGCAGCAGUGGGGAAUAUUGGACAAUGGGGGGAACCCUGAUCCAGCCAUGCCGCGUGUGUGAAGAAGGCCUUAUGGUUGUAAAGCACUUUAAGCGAGGAGGAGGCUACUGAGACUAAUACUCUUGGAUAGUGGACGUUACUCGCAGAAUAAGCACCGGCUAACUCUGUGCCAGCA